AAGGGGAGAUUCUGAAAUUUUUAAAGGGAGGAUAAUUAAAUGGACCAGCUAUACGACCUGCGACAAUUUCUGAUUGAAUUUUUUCAAUUACAAUGUCUAAAUUAUUUUUUACAGAACGAAGAUUAUCAACGACCUUACAUCCCGGUCCUUUAAAUUCAGUUUGCGGAAUCGUUUCUUUAUCCGCGCUUAAGAUUUCGCCGGAGAUAGGACGGAGAUCGAUCACCUCUGCGCUCGCGCUGGUUCCUGCGUAGCGGACUGAAUUAGAUGAAUGCCGAUGCUCGACCGUAUCUUCGGGUUCCUGUUCGGAUUGAAGGCAUCUGCGCAGCCACUCUUCCCCUCCUUGAGAUUCAGCCUUGAUGAUUAGCUGCUUUAGAAGAUCUUCCAUCUCGGAUGAUACAAAAAAACGUUAAAUAUUCUCCACCAAUCCAGAAGCUUAGAAUUACCACCUGCAACACAUACAGUUCCCAGGAGCGUACCACCUUUUCCUUUAUAACAG